GACCCGACAUAUUUUAGGAAGGAGCAGUGUAUAAAUAAAGAGGGAACUGAUGUCUCAGUGUGAGUCUCCACUGAGAUCACCCAUGUAUAUACAUGUCUGAGUUGUGCCUUUCUUUGCCUGCUGAAACAAUUCUUUGACAUAAUUUUUGGUCCUCCAAGCCGGAGAGGAAAUAACAACUGUUUUGUUGUGACUCCAAAGCAGAGAUCUACACUGAUUCCUGACGCCGUGGGGAGCCCGCACUGAAGUCUGUCGACAGCCCUCUCUAGGUAGAGGUGAAAGCCCAAGAGCGUAAAAAAUUCGGGUCUUGGCCAGUGUUUUUAUCAGUGGUCCACGGCGGUGGGAUUCAGUGGAACGAUCUAACGAAACCGGCUGCAGCGACGUUUCAGUGAGUAUCUGCAGGUUGAAGCCAGGUGACUGGAUCCUAAUCAGGGUACUCCAGAGGAAAAAUUGGAGCUCACCCUGUUGGGAGGGACCAUACCAAGUGCUUUUAACCAUGCCGACUGCAUGCAAGAUUUCUGAAAGACCAUCCUGGAUCCACCAAAGCCACUGUAAGUAAGUGAGUGAGAGCAUAGACUAAUAGACGCCGACGUCCCUGCCCUCUGGUGACCCGAAAGGUGGAGGAAGGGCUGAUCGGGUAUAUCCCGCCCUUUGCUUCUUGCCUUUGGUCUACUUAUCAGAGGGGUCAGGUGCGCCAGGUCAUCAUGAAGUUGCUCCUGGUCUCACUAACCCUAGCGGUGCUGGCUGCAGGAUGCUUCCUACUAUUCAAUAUGGACCAAAAGCAUCACCAGAAGAAAGCUUGGACGCAUGAUAACUCACACCACUACACAAUGACAUUUCCAAUGGCACCUAUUGGGUGCAGGGAAUGGCCUGGCUAUGUGGACAGCGGGCCUAUUUCACUCUCCC